rnacentral:rRNA from 1 species
AGCUCUUUCUUGAUUCUACGGGUGGUGGUGCAUGGCCGUUCUUAGUUGGUGGAGUGAUUUGUCAGGUUAAUUCCUUUAACGAACGAGACCUUAACCUGCUAACUAGCACCCCGUCUCAACGGAAGGUGCUUCUUAGAGGGACUGUGCGAGCCUAUCGCACGGAAGUUUGAGGCAAUAACAGGUCUGUGAUGCCCUUAGAUGUCCUGGGCCGCACGCGCGCUACAAUGGCACACGCAGCGAGUAUCCUGAUCCGAAGGGAACCGGGUAACCUGCCAGGGUGUGCCGUGAUUGGGAUCGACCCUUGCAAUUAUGGGUCGUGAACGAGGAAUUCCUAGUAAGCGCAAGUCAUCAGCUUGCGCUGAUUACGUCCCUGCCCUUUGUACACACCGCCCGUCGCUCCUACCGAUU